UUUCUUUUCCAGGCCACACACAUUUUUCUCUCUCUCUUCUCCGGCCGACUCUCUCACCUCUCCUUCAAACUUCUCUCUUCGAUUUCAUCGCCUUAGAAGGAGAUUUUGGAAAAAUCCCAAGUACUAAAGUUGUUCUACGCGACGAGAGCUUCCUAUCCAUUCGAGAAAAUUCAUGAUCGGAGCACUUCGAAGUUUCCUCCAUGUUCAGGCAUGCUUCUAACCUUCGAGGUACUCGCCAUGGCACUUAGCUUGGAUUGCAUGGAAUGCAUAUUGAGACGUCUCUUGAGAGCUUCAUUGAAAACACUAAGGAGGUGUUUUUCAUCUAGUUUAAUUCAUGUUGUGUACUUUACUCACAAUUGAAGGUUAUACCUUUUGGUUAGAACAUAUGCAAAGCUAUGUAUAAAUUCCUCCCCUUGAUUAUUGUGAAGCCUCUUUUUUUGUGGAAGACGUCUGGGAGACUUUAUGUAAGAAAAAAAAAAUUUAGAGAGAAGAAGAAGUUUGAUUCUUUGUUUGGAUUGA